AUACGGAGGAUGCAAGCGUUAUCCGGAUUUAUUGGGUUUAAAGGGUGCGUAGGCUGACGUGUAAGUCAGAGGUGAAAUCUCCGGGCUCAACCUGGGAACUGCCUUUGAUACUGCAUGUCUGGAGUUCGGAUGCCGUGGGAGGAAUGGGCAGUGUAGCGGUGAAAUGCAUAGAUAUUGCCCAGAACACCGAUUGCGAAGGCAUCUCACGAAUCCGACACUGACGCUGAGGCACGAAAGCGUGGGGAUCAAACAGGAUUAGAUACCCUGGUAGUCCACGCAGUAAACGAUGAUAACUAACCGUCGGCGAUAGACAGUCGGUGGCCAAGCGAAAGCGAUAAGUUAUCCACCUGGGGAGUACGUUCGCAAGAAUGAAACUCAAAGGAAUUGACGG
rnacentral:rRNA from 1 species